rnacentral:rRNA from 1 species
AGCAGCCGCGGUAAUUCCAGCUCCAAUAGCGUAUAUUAAAGUUGUUGCAGUUAAAAAGCUCGUAGUUGAAUUUCGGAAUUUGUCAGUUGGUCGGGCUUUAUUGUCCGUACUGAUUCGAUGGAUUCUUACCUUCUGAAUAACCAUCAUGCCAUUAAUUUGGUGCGUUGGGGAAGCAGAGCUAUUACCCUGAAAAAAUUAGAGUGCUUAAAGCAGGCUAUUGCUUGAAUAGAUUAGCAUGGAAUAAUGAAAUAGGACGGCAUGGUUCUAUUUUGUUGGUUUCUAGGAUCACCGUAAUGAUUAAUAGGGAUAGUUGGGGGCAUUAGUAUUCAAUUGUCAGAGGUGAAAUUCUUGGAUUUAUUGAAGACUAACUACUGCGUAAAGCAUUUGCCAAGGAUGUUUUCAUUAAUCAAGAACGAAAGUUAGGGGAUCGAAGACGAUCAGAUACCGUCGUAGUCUUAACCAUAAACUAUGCCGACUAGGGAUACGGACGAAGUUUAAUUUUUUAAUAGACUCGUUCGGC